GAUGAACGCUGGCGGCGUGCCUAAUACAUGCAAGUCGAGCGAACAGACGAGGAGCUUGCUCCUCUGACGUUAGCGGCGGACGGGUGAGUAACACGUGGAUAACCUACCUAUAAGACUGGGAUAACUUCGGGAAACCGGAGCUAAUACCGGAUAAUAUAUUGAACCGCAUGGUUCAAUAGUGAAAGACGGUUUUGCUGUCACUUAUAGAUGGAUCCGCGCCGCAUUAGCUAGUUGGUAAGGUAACGGCUUACCACGGCGACGAUGCGUAGCCGACCUGAGAGGACGAUGGCCCACACUAGGAAAGAGACGGUGUGCAGCCGACGGCGGGGGGCAGCACGAGGCAAAGGUCCACAAGGUGCUACAUCCUUAAUGAGCAAUUCCGCUGGAAAAAUAAAGGUCUUCGGACCUUAAAACCCAGUUACUAGGCAGGGGCAAACGGAGGACAGACCUGGCGCGUCGGGACGCUAGCUAAGCAGAGAGCGACACCCAGCGUCGGA
rnacentral:rRNA from 1 species